rnacentral:tRNA from 1 species
GUCGUUAACCUGGGGUAAAACUGUUUUGAAAACAUUUAAUAAGUGUUCAAUUCACUUUAACGAUU